rnacentral:rRNA from 1 species
UACAGAGGUCCCAAGCGUUGUUCGGAUUCACCGGGCGUAAAGGGUGCGUAGGCGGUUGGGUAAGUCUGACGUGAAAUCUCCGGGCCUAACCCGGAAACUGCGUUGGAUACUAUCCGGCUAGAGGAAUGGAGGGGAGACUGGAAUACUUGGUGUAGCAGUGGAAUGCGCAGAUAUCAGGAGGAACACCGGUGGCGAAGGCGGGUCUCUGGGCCGUUACUGACGCUGAGGAGCGAAAGCGUGGGGAGCGAACAGG